CCUACGGGUGGCAGCAGUGAGGAAUAUUGGUCAAUGGGCGCGAGCCUGAACCAGCCAAGCCGCGUGAGGGAAGACGGUCCUAUGGAUUGUAAACUUCUUUUGUCGGGGAGCAAAAGACGCCACGCGUGGCGUUCCGAGAGUACCCGAAGAAAAAGCAUCGGCUAACUCCGUGCCAGCAGCCGCGGUAAUACGGAGGAUGCGAGCGUUAUCCGGAUUUAUUGGGUUUAAAGGGUGCGUAGGCGGAAGAUCAAGUCAGCGGUAAAAUGGAGGGGCUAAACCGCGUCGAGCCGUUGAAACUGGUUUUCUUGAGUGAGUGAGAGGUAUGCGGAAUGCGUAGGGUAGCGGUGAAAUGCAUAGAUAUCGCGCGGGACUCCGAUUGCGAAGGCGGCAUAGCGGCGGUGAGCUGACGCUGGUGCACGAAAGUGUGGGUAUCGAACAGGAUUAGAUACGCGGGGGGGG
rnacentral:rRNA from 1 species